rnacentral:tRNA from 1 species
GGUUCCAUAGAGUAGCGGUUAGCCUGUCUGCUUUACACGCAGAAGGUCCUGGGUUUGUGCACCAGUGGAGUCA